AGGAGCGUGGUGUAACUGGAUAACAUUUCGGUCUCCAAAACCGACGAUUCGGGUUCGAAUCCCGGCGCUCCUG
rnacentral:tRNA from 1 species